GACGAACGCUGGCGGCGUGCCUAAUACAUGCAAGUCGAACGGAGUGGCGCACGGGUGAGUAAUAUAUAGCUAAUCUGCCCCUUGCUGGAGGACAACAGUUAGAAAUGACUGCUAAUACUCCAUAGCAAGGGAUGAGACUAUAUCGUAUCAGCUAGUCGGUGGGGUAACGGCCUACCGAGGCGAUGACGCGUAACUGGUCUGAGAGGAUGAGCAGUCACAUUGGAAGUGAGACACUGUCCAAACUCCUACGGGAGGGAGCGGUAGGGAAUAUUGCGCAAUGGGGGAUACCCUGACGCAGCAUCGCCGCGUGAAGUAUGUCAAUUUUCGGAGCGUAAACUCCUGUUGUUAGGGAAGCGGUACCUAACGAAGAAGCACCGGCUAACUCCGUGCCAGCAGCCGCGGUAAUAC
rnacentral:rRNA from 1 species